rnacentral:rRNA from 1 species
UACGGAGGGUGCAAGCGUUGUCCGGAUUUAUUGGGUUUAAAGGGUGCGUAGGCGGAAGAUUAAGUCAGUGGUGAAAGCCCACAGCUCAACUGUGGAACUGCCAUUGAUACUGGUUUUCUUGAAUUCAGUUAAGGUAGGCGGAAUUGAUGGUGUAGCGGUGAAAUGCAUAGAUACCAUCAGGAACACCGAUUGCGAAGGCAGCUUACUGGGCUUGAAUUGACGCUGAGGCACGAAAGCGUGGGGAGCGAAC